rnacentral:rRNA from 1 species
UACAGAGGGUGCAAGCGUUGUUCGGAAUCAUUGGGCGUAAAGCGCACGUAGGCGGCUUUGCAAGUCGGGUGUGAAAGCCUGGGGGCUCAACCCCCAGAAGUGCAUUCGAAACUGCAGAGCUUGAGUCUUGGAGAGGGUGGUGGAAUUCCGAGUGUAGAGGUGAAAUUCGUAGAUAUUCGGAGGAACACCAGUGGCGAAGGCGACCACCUGGACAAAGACUGACGCUGAGGUGCGAAAGCGUGGGGAGCAAACAGG